AACGAACGCUGGCGGCAGGCCUAACACAUGCAAGUCGAACGCAUCCUUCGGGGAGAGUGGCGCACGGGUGAGUAACACGUGGGAAUGUGCCCUUUGGUUCGGAAUAACGUCUGGAAACGGACGCUAAUACCGGAUGUCCCCUGUGGGGGAAAGAUUUAUCGCCAAAGGAGCAGCCCGCGUCUGAUUAGGUAGUUGGUGGGGUAACGGCCUACCAAGCCGACGAUCAGUAGCUGGUCUGAGAGGAUGAUCAGCCACACUGGGACUGAGACACGGCCCAGACUCCUACGGGAGGAAGCAGUGGGGAAUAUUGGACAAUGGAGGCAAAUCUGAUCCAGCCAUGCCGCGUGAAUGAUGAAGGCCCUAGGGUUGUAAAGUUCUUUAAGUUGGGAAAAUAAUGAUGGUACCAACAGAAUAAGCUCCGGCUAACUUCGUGCCAGCAGCCGCCGUAA
rnacentral:rRNA from 1 species